rnacentral:rRNA from 1 species
ACGUAGGAGGCGAGCGUUAUCCGGGUUCACUGGGCGUAAAGCGCGUGCAGGCGGUUUGGUAAGUUAGGCGUGAAAGCUCCCGGCUCAACUGGGAGAGGUCGUCUAAUACUACCAGACUAGAGAGCAGAAGAGGAAGAUGGAAUUCCGGGUGUAGUGGUGAAAUGCGUAGAUAUCCGGAGGAACACCAGUGGCGAAGGCGAUCUUCUGGUCUGUUUCUGACGCUCAGACGCGACAGCUAGGGUAGUAAACGGGAUUAGAGACCCCGGUAAUCCUAGCCGUAAACGAUGUGAACUUGGCGUCGGUGGCUUAAACACCAUCGGUGCCGAAGCAAACGCGAUAAGUUCACCGCCUGGGGACUACGGCCGCAAGGUUA